rnacentral:rRNA from 1 species
AACAAGUAUUAAAGGCAACGCCUGCCCAGUGAACAAUUAAACGGCCGCGGUACCCUAACCGUGCAAAGGUAGCAUAAUCAUUUGUCUAUUAACUGUAGACCUGUAUGAAAGGCAAAAUGAGGGUUUAACUGUCUCUUAUAAUAAAUCUAUUAAACUGAUCUCCCAGUAAAAAAGCUGGAAUACCACCAUAAGACCAGAAGACCCUGUGAAGCUUUAACUAAACUAUUAAAUCCAAUAAUAGCUACUUUAGGUUGGGGCGACCUUGGAAAUAAAAAGAACUUCCAAACAUAACACAUUAACACAGGCCAACACGCCAAUAAAUGACCCAGUAAAACUGAUAACUGAACAAAGUUACUCCAGGGAUAACAGCGCUAUCUUCUUCAAGAGCCCAUAUCAAAAAGAAGGUUUACGACCUCGAUGUUGGAUCAGGACAUCCUAGUGGUGCAACCGCUAUUAAGGGUUCGUUUGUUCAACGAUUAAUGUCCU